GAGUCUGCGUUCCAUUAGCUAGUUGGUGAGAUAACAGCUCACCAAGGCGACGAUGGGUAACCGGUCUGAGAGGGCGAACGGUCACACUGGAACUGAGACACGGUCCAGACUCCUACGGGAGGCAGCUGUGGGGAAUAUUGCACAWUGGGGGCACACCCUGAUAGUCUASUCAAUACCGCUGUUGAGUGAAUGAAKGUUUUCUGAUCNCAAAGCUCUGUUAUUGGGKAAGAAAAAAGACGG
rnacentral:rRNA from 1 species